rnacentral:rRNA from 1 species
UACGGAGGGGGCUAGCGUUGUUCGGAAUUACUGGGCGUAAAGCGCACGUAGGCGGUGGCGCAUGUCAGAUGUGAAAGCCCUGGGCUUAACCUAGGAAUUGCAUUUGAAACUGCGCCGCUAGAGGCCGGAAGAGGGUAGUGGAAUUCCCAGUGUAGAGGUGAAAUUCGUAGAUAUUGGGAAGAACACCGGUGGCGAAGGCGGCUACCUGGUCCGGUUCUGACGCUGAGGUGCGAAAGCCAGGGGAGCAAACGGG